rnacentral:lncRNA from 1 species
ACUGCCUGACUGGCCCCGCCCACCACUGCCUGACCACACCCUGUGCUUCCCUGGCCCCGCCCCGCGCUAGCCCCGCCCCCUCUGUUUCUAGGUAACGACUUUGAUCUGAGUGACGCCCUGGACGGAGACGACCCCAACCCGUCCAGACCCCGGGACCAGCCGAAGCCGGAUCCGAAGCCGCGGCCGCCGCCCGGAGGGCGUGGCCUCCGUUUAUGCUAAUCCGGCCUCCUCAUUUGCAUGUAUGGUAAUCGCGGUCCCUGUGUGGCCUGGUUUAUGCUAAUGGGCGGUGACGUCGUCUCCGUUUAUGUAAAUGACGCUGAGGCAAUUUCUCCAUCACCGACCUGGAGGACGCGGCCGGCGGGAAGGGCGGAGGCGGCAGCCGAGGGGGUCCUGAACCAGAGCCGGAAGCCGGAGGGUCCCCCCAGGGCCUGGUUCCCGGCAUCGUGGGCGCCGUGGUCGCCGCCCUGGCCGGCGCGGUGUCGAGCUUCGUGGCCUAUCAGAAGCGGCGGCUGUGCUUCCGGGAGAGCGGUGAGGGCGGGGCCCCGGGAGGGGCGGGGCUUCCGUGCCCUGACUGACAGCGGCGGGGCAGAUACCCGGGAGGGGCGUGGCUACAAUCGGGAACCCCCUUCACUGCCUUGUGACGUCAUUCACCACCCGGGCUGGGUCUCCAGUGACGUCAGCCAGGGGCAUCACCUGAGCGGAGCCUGUCAAUCACGUCACGGAGCAGCCGGAACUUCCUGCCCCACCAUCCACUUCCCGGGCCCCGCCCCUGAGUCCCCUGGCAUCACCGUCGCCCUAACUUCCGGUUCUCUCCCCUCAGGCCCCGCCCCCGUGUAGCCGGUUCCGCCCAGUGACGACUCCCGUGAUGCUCGGCAGAGAGGAAGAACCCGAGGCCACGCCCUCAUGCGCGUGACGUCAGCGCUCUGACAUCUCCGGGCUCCGCCCACAAUCCCCGGGCCAGGGCCUCAGGCCCUCAUUUGCAUAUGCAAAUCGCCAAAGCCUUAACCCUGCCGCUCAUUUGCAUAAGGAGCGCUCUGAGGGGCGGGGCCUGUGGUGCCAAUCAGAGCCGGGGGCUCAUCCGCAUGGCCACGCCCCCCGCGCAGCCGGCGCCGGCUCAUUUACAUAUCAGGAAAUGAAAAAGUCCUGGUGCUUUCGGGGGCGGAGCCUCGGUUCCGGCCCCGCCCAGCUCAUUUGCCUGUGGGGAAUCCCCGCCAGCUCAUUUGCAUAUCUGAAACUCAGCCCCGCCCCCGCGCUGCUUCCAGUGCCUCAUUAGCAUAUCUGCACUGACGUCGGGGGCAGGGCCUGCGGCUUCUUCCCAUCACUAGGGACCCCGCCCCUCAUUUGCUUCCUGCUGCUGCCUUAACGUAAGGGGCGGGGCCGUGACGUCAGGAGCGUGGCGGCCCCUGCGGGAGACCCCGGUGCCAAUAAAAUAAAAACCCGGAAUAAACGGGUUGAACGC